CGCCCGCCACGCAGAUCAUCGUUUCUGGGCCGCUUCCUACCUACCGCCGAGGAAAUGAAAGGCUCUUCCGUCCUGACGGCCUGCACCCCAGUCGAGCCGGAGCUGAACUCCUGUCGGACAACAUCUCCAGACUACUUCGCACCAUCUGACUAGCAGG
rnacentral:lncRNA from 1 species